rnacentral:rRNA from 1 species
ACGAACGCUGGCGGCGUGCUUAACACAUGCACGUCGAACGGAAAGGCCCUGCUUUUGUGGGGUGCUCGAGUGGCGAACGGGUGAGUAACACGUGAGUAACCUGCCCUUGACUUUGGGAUAACUUCAGGAAACUGGGGCUAAUACCGGAUAGGAGCUCCUGCUACAUGGUGGGGGUUGGAAAGUUUCGGCGGUUGGGGAUGGACUCGCGGCUUAUCAGCUUGUUGGUGGGGUAGUGGCUUACCAAGGCUUUGACGGGUAGCCGGCCUGAGAGGGUGACCGGCCACAUUGGGACUGAGAUACGGCCCAGACUCCUACGGGAGGCAGCAGUGGGGAAUAUUGCACAAUGGGCGGAAGCCUGAUGCAGCAACGCCGCGUGCGGGAUGACGGCCUUCGGGUUGUAAACCGCUUUCGCCUGUGACGAAGCGUGAGUGACGGUAAUGGGUAAAGAAGCACCGGCUAACUACGUG